rnacentral:lncRNA from 1 species
CUGGAUGUCCAAUAUCUUUUACAUCGCUUCGCAUUUAGAUUCCUCUACUUCUCACAAUCUCAACCACAAAAUUUCCAGAUUUUUCAUCCAGUCUCAUUCAAAAGAAAAAAAGAAGAAGAUCAGAGGCUUAAAAUUAUAUUGAAAUUAAAAGCAAAAGCUAAAACAUUAAAACCCACAAUCAUUUUGAGAACAAAACUACCAUGCUAGUUGUGUUUUUUCAUUUUGAUUUUGGUUGAAAAUCAU